UUCCUUUAGGGCUCAAUAUCCUACUUUCCUCUUGCAGCCAAGUGGCUGUGAGGAGAGAAGAGGAGGAAGCGCCAGGGAGCCCAGAGCCACCAGACAGUGACGCCACAGAGCCACAGCCAUCACACCCGCACAGACACACACCGUCCUCUGCCGUUCAUGCCCGAGAGUCCCCUGAGGACUGGCGUCCUUACUACGGGCCUCCACCCUGUGAGCGCUCCCGCUGCCACCCCACCUGGUUCACGUCGGGCUCCGAAUUGACUCGCUUCACAGGAUUCCCGCAUCCUGUGCUAACACAUCCACAAACGAGCUCCACUCACCUUGCAAAGAGGGAGAAGCGCGCGAAAACGGAAUGGAAGCCGAAGAUCUGGCGUGACCGCUGCCCUCUGGCAAGUGUCGCUCCAACCUGAACCUCUCUGGGCGCGGCGGCUCGUCAGACAGGCCGCCGAAGCGCGGAAGUCCCGGAGGCCGAGCAGGGCAGCCCGGCGCUGGUUCUGAGCCUCUGGCCUGUGCACGCAGAGUCGCACUGGAGUGUCGGGGGGCGGCCCCUGGGGCGCGAGCGCAAGGCGGGUGUGAGCUCUGAGGGCGGGGCCCCGGGCGAGUCCCCUCAGGCGGCUG
rnacentral:lncRNA from 1 species